rnacentral:tRNA from 1 species
GGGCGCGUCACCUAGCACGGAUAGGGUGCCGGCCUUCGGCGCCACAACCGGUUUCCGGCGGUUCAAAUCCGCCCGCGCCCG